GACGAACGCUGGCGGCGUGCUUAACACAUGCAAGUCGAACGAUGAACCCGGAGCUUGCUCCGGUGGAUUAGUGGCGAACGGGUGAGUAACACGUGAGUAACCUGCCCUUGACUCUGGGAUAACUGCGGGAAACUGUAGCUAAUACCGGAUACGACCCUCGGCGGCAUCGCCAGGGGGUGGAAAGAAUUUCGGUCAAGGAUGGACUCGCGGCCUAUCAGCUAGUUGGUGAGGUAACGGCUCACCAAGGCGACGACGGGUAGCCGGCCUGGGAGGGUGACCGGCCACACUGGGACUGAGACACGGCCCAGACUCCUACGGGAGGCAGCAGUGGGGAAUAUUGCACAAUGGGCGCAAGCCUGAUGCAGCAACGCCGCGUGAGGGAUGACGGCCUUCGGGUUGUAAACCUCUUUCAGCACCGACGAAGCGCAAGUGACGGUAGGUGCAGAAGAAGGACCGGCCAACUACGUGCCAGCAGCCGCGGUAA
rnacentral:rRNA from 1 species